rnacentral:rRNA from 1 species
GACGAACGCUGGCGGCGUGCCUAAUACAUGCAAGUUGAGCGCUGAAGGUUGGUACUUGUACCAACUGGAUGAGCAGCGAACGGGUGAGUAACGCGUGGGGAAUCUGCCUUUGAGCGGGGGACAACAUUUGGAAACGAAUGCUAAUACCGCAUAAAAACUUUAAACACAAGUUUUAAGUUUGAAAGAUGCAAUUGCAUCACUCAAAGAUGAUCCCGCGUUGUAUUAGCUAGUUGGUGAGGUAAAGGCUCACCAAGGCGAUGAUACAUAGCCGACCUGAGAGGGUGCUCGGCCACAUUGGGAAUGAGACACGGCCCAAACUCCUACGGGAGGCAGCAGUAGGGGAUCUUCGGCAAUGGACGGAAGUCUGACCGAGCAACGCCGCGUGAGUGCAGGAGGUUUUCGGAUCGUAAAACUCUGUUGGUAGAGAAGAACGUUGGUGAGAGUGGAAAGCUCAUCAAGUGACGGUAACUACCCAGAAAGGGACGGCUAACUACGUG